UGUCGUCAGCUCGUGUCGUGAGAUGUUCGGUUAAGUCCGCUAACGAGCGCAACCCUCGCUGUAUGUUACAUGUGUCAUACAGGAACCGCCGGUAUCAAGCCGGAGGAAGGUGGGAAAUGACGUCAAGUCCGCAUGGCCUUUAUGUCCGGGGCUACACACACGCUACAAUGGUCGGUACAAUGGGUUGCUAAGCCGCGAGGUGGAGCCAAUCCCCCAAAGCCGGCCUCAGUUCAGAUUGCAGGCUGCAACUCGCCUGCAUGAAGCUGGAGUUGCUAGUAAACGCGCGUCAGCUAUAGUGCGUUGAAUACGUUCUCGGGCCUU
rnacentral:rRNA from 1 species